rnacentral:lncRNA from 1 species
GUCCCAAACCGAGGAUAAUAGUAGAAGUCAAAAUGUUAUAUGGUCCUGCAGGUGCAUAUUGUUUGUUCCCGCUUCUAAAACUCUAUCAAGAAGCCUUUUUAGGAUCCCCAUCCAUCCAGCAACUAACUUUUGUAAAAGAAAAUUUCAUAUCCAUUCUGUCAGUGCCUGAAAAAGAGCCGUAAAAUCGUAAGAUUGACUAGAGUUUGUCUAAUUUUCUUUACUCAAGUGUUCAAGAACUCUAGGGAGAAGGGUUGCCUCCUCACAAAGGAGGUCCUCUUUGAACACAAAAGAGAAAGGUCUUUUUGAGUAAGAUGCAUUGCAUAUGCGUGAUCAUUUGACUUUUAUUUUUAUUUAUUUAUUUAUUUAUAUUUAUUUUUAAAUACUCAAUCAGGUGAUUUUAAAGUAAAUGCCAGAAUUUUAUACCAAAAAAUCUUAGUAAUUAGCUUUUAGACUCAAGAAAGUAAAUAUACAGUUCCUCCCAUGAGAGUACACUAUACCACUCUUAACAAUACAAUAAACUAUAAUAUAAUAUAUGGGUGUGGUUUCUAUAGCAACGUUAAACAAUCCAAUUAAGGCGCGCCUUCAAAUUUGAUCAUAACAUAUAAUUUUGAUGUAAAAUAUUUUUAGGACUCUCUCAAA